UCUCUCUGAUUAUUAAAUGGAUAUACGGUUAUACUAAAGAAUAGGCUGACGAAGAAGCAACCAAUGGCAUUCAUGUCAUGUCUUUUUAUUUCCAAUCCUCUCAAAAAUUACCAUGGGGGCAAUUCAUCUUUUGCAGAUCAAACUUUUUCUUGCUCAUCUUAAUCUUCAGGAUUAUUCCAUCCGAGAGUUUUGAUGACAAUCUUUAGAUCUAUCGAAGCAAAGAAAGGAGUUACAUGGCCGAACUCUCAGAGUGAACUACACCAAAUUAGAGACCACAAGGUGGAGGUAGUUUCUGGGCAGGUGACUACCUUUUUCAUCGCUGCAAUCAUAGGUUUGAAUUCUAAAGAAGAAGUCACUAAAGCAGUUCUUAUCAGGUAAAUUCAGUCGUUCCCAAGGUAAUUCACAUCUUUGAAAAAAGAACUUCUUCAGGUUAUAGCAAGCGCCUGCUCAAACAAUUUCAUAUGAUGCCUUCAUUCGACAGUUUGGGUAUUGUUUUUUUAUAAUCAUAUGGAUUAGAAUCACAUAUGUGUUCGUGUUGUCCACUAACCAUGGUUGGCAAUCUUAGGGUUGUACAUCCACAUAAGUACACUUAGUUUUGUAAUAUGAUAUUAUUUUAGAUGUAAAAGUGUGACACUUUGGGCAACUUUUGACCCGUUUCUUUUUUAGCCAAUCAGUCAUUUAUCUCCGUUACCUCUUUGACCCAUUAGAUAUAAGGCAUAUGGAGAAACAAUCCAUUUACAGUAUCAGUAACUAAAUGAUCGAAUUUGUUGCCUUUGUAAUGAAAAAAUGUAACUUUGUUGGUCAUUUUGGAAUAACAUGGGUUGAUGUGUGUUGCCUGCAUGGAAUUUGAGAAACUUCAAUACAUAGUUGACAAGUGAUAGGGAGUACCAAAUAUCAUCAGCUAAAUACUACUUGAAGCUUUUUACAAACUAGGAAACAUAUAAAGAUGUGGAUGCACUUGCAAGGAUUGAGAAUAAGAGUGUUGUUACGGGUUGAGUAUGGAUCAAAUCAGUUCCGGGUUUUGUUUAAACGGUUCAUUCAUCAACUAUCGGGUCAUGAGUAAGGAAUUGGUCAAGUUGGACCAGAUUUUUAAGAAAUUAAAUGCUUAGAGUGGGAUUGUUGUGAAAGAAAAGAAGGAUGCUGGCUUAGGUUAAUUUGCAUGUGUUUUAUAUUAGUUUUGUGUCUUUAUAAAUAGUACAGUUGCAGUAGGUUAUAUGCACCUUCCGCUAAUUAACAUAUACUUCGUUGUGAGUGUGUGAGGAUAUUGAGAGGGGCAUGUGAAACCUACAAUUUUGUAUCAGAGCAAGGUUUAGAAAGAGGGCGGUUUGAGGGUCGAUGGCAAGAAAGAGAGUAGCCCUCUGGCUGCGGGGCUGAAGUAGGAAGAAGUAUGACUGAUCUGAACCAGAAGUGGUUGUGUUAGCUGUGAUGUUCUUAUCUUAGCAUCAAGAAAACCGAAAGGCUGGUCUAUUAAUUGGUCAGCUAAUGAAAAAAGUUGCAGAGAAAAACCCUCGUAGUAUGAAACCAGCAAAAACAUGUAAGAAGAUGGUAGCAUAGAAAAAAAAAAGACGCUCAUCAAAAACAAAGAAGAAGAGGUGCCACAAGAAAGGAGAAAGAAAGAGGUAGUCACAUACAAGAACGAUGGUCUCACAAGAAAGAAAGAGAUCGGUGGUAUUGCAAUAAAGAAAUAAAGUACCAAGCCACAAGAAAGAGACUGAUAAGGCAAUUAGAAAGAUGAUACGAGAUUUGACAACUGAAAGAAAGCAAGAAAGUGACGGAAUUGUGAACCAAAUGGAGACCGAAGUGGUCCACAUCAAACCGAGAAAGAAAGCAAGACGGGAAGAAGCAUUUCUUGAAAGAAAGCUUUGACCCGCAAAUAAACAAGUGGAGCACAAACGAUCGACUUCAACCUGACUAAUAAAAGAAUUGUAUAAAGGAGAUCCGCCCCUUAUGAAGAUACAAGAAAACUCAGUAAUCAUCCAAUUAGACACAAGUGUUAGACCAGGAAAUAUCUAAUCAGCAAGAAACAGGUAGCAAAAUUAGUCGGGUAGAUAAAAGACUACAUACUAACAGGACCAGGUAAGACUACUCGAGUUAUAUUACGGUAUUAUUACAUCUUUGGAGAUUCAGGUCAUUUUUAUAUAAGGCGCAAAAAAAAAAGAAUAGGCCAAUGAUCCUAAAAGUGUAUCUUAAAGAAUGGAUUGGGUUUGAGCUGUUUAUGUUUACUUUACUUAUUAAUGUUUGUCUCAACUUUAUAAAUAAAGCCUACAGGCUAUUAGGGUAAGACACUAAUUGAUUUUGUUAUACCAUAUCACACAAGGGAGCUUUGUUGGGCUCAUAUAUACUAGCCAACUAUCUAUCUAUAAAUUGUUCAACCUAUUUAGGCCGGAUUUUCUGAUGAA